rnacentral:rRNA from 1 species
CGUGAGAGGUAGAGCGACCGAUAGGACGAGAGGGCUUCACCGCCUAUCGAGCCCUGACGAACUCCGAAUGCUCAYGGUCCAGGCACAAUCCAGUCCGGCAGUAAGGGGRCGGGUGCUAAGGUCCGUCCCCGAGAGGAGAAGAAUCCAGACCGCCGUCUAAGGUCCCGGAGUUCUGCCUGAGUUAGUCUAACGAAGUCUGGUCCCUAUGACAGCUAGGAUGUUGGCUUGGAAGCAGCCAUUCAUUCAAAGAGUGCGUAACAGCUCACUAGUCGAGGGUCCGGGCAUGGAUAAUAAUCGGGUAUAAGGCAGACACCGAAGGCGCGGGAUAGCAAUAAUAAAAGUAUCGGUAGGGGAGCAUACUCACAGCGUCGAAUGGUGUACGUAAGUUAUCCUGGAGCGGUGAGUAAAGCAAAUGUAGGAAUAAGUAACGAUAAGGAGGGUUAGAUUCCCUCCCGCUGUAAGACCAAGGUUUCCCGGGCAAUGCCAAUCAGCCCGGGGUCAGUCGGGUCCUAAGUCUAAGCCGAACGGCGAUGGCGAUGGCAGAGACGGUUAAUAUUCCGUCACUGCCGCAUGGGGCGACGUGGAGACGGAGCAGUGAAACCACCGCGGGGCGACGGAAGUCCCCGUUGAAGAGUGUAGGUGUUGAGGAUGGCAGGCAAAUCCACCAUCCGAGCUGAACUUGACAGUACGGAGUCCUCCUCGGAGGAAUCCGAUAGUGUGGGUAAUCAUACUCCCGAGAAAAUCCGCUAAGCUUAACCCAUGCGGCACCCGUACCGCAAACGGACACACGUGGUCGGGUAGAACAUACUAAGGCGUUGAGAGAUUCAUGGUUAAGGAACUAGGCAAAUUGACCCUGUAACUUCGGGAUAAAGGGUCCUCGUGAAGAGCGAGGCGCAGAGAAUAGGUCCAGGCAACUGUUUAACAAAAACACAGGGCUGUGCAAACUCGAAAGAUGARGUAUACAGCCUGACACCUGCCCGGUGCCGGAAGGUUAAGAGGAGAUGUCACUCUKYRRGAGGAAGCAUUGAAUUGAAGCCCCGGUAAACGGCGGCCGUAACAAUAACGGUCCUAAGGUAGCGAAAUUCCUUGUCGGGUAAGUUCCGACCUGCACGAAUGGUGUAAUGAUCCGGACGCUKUCUCAACCAUGAGCUCAGUGAAAUUGUAGUAUCGGUGAAGAUGCCGAUUACCCGCGAUGGGACGAAAAGACCCCGUGAACCUUUACUACAGCUUAGCAUUGACCUUGGUCAUCCGAUGUGUAGGAUAGGCCGGAGGCUUCGAAGCGGGAGCGCCAGCUUUCGUGGAGCCAUCCUUGAAAUACGGCCCUUUGGCUGUCUGAGGUCUAACGCGUUAAACGCGGACACUGCUUGGUGGGUAGUUUGACUGGGGUGGUCGCCUCCAAAAGCGUAACGGAGGCUUCCAAAGGUGCCCUCGGGUCGAUUGGUAACCGACCUCAAAGAGUGCAAUGGCAUAAGGGCGCUUGACUGGGAGGCAGACAUGCCGAGCAGGCAGGAAACUGGGGCAUAGUGAUCCGGCGGUUCUGUAUGGAAGGUCCAUCGCUCAAAGGAUAAAAGGUACU